rfam:Nematocida sp. JTm2807 2, whole genome shotgun sequence.
GGCUCGGUGGCGCAAGGGUAGCGCUUUCGACUCCAGAUCGAAUGGUUGGGAGUUCGAAUCUCUCCCGGGUCA